UGGGGAAUAUUGCACAAUGGAGGGAACUCUGAUGCAGCGACGCCGCGUGAACGAAGAAGGCUUUCGAGUCGUAAAGUUCUUUUAUAUGGGAAGAUAAUGACGGUACCAUAAGAAGAAGCCCCGGCUAACUACGUGCCAGCAGCCGCGGUAAUACGUAGGGGGCUAGCGUUGUCCGGAAUCACUGGGUGUAAAGGGUUCGCAGGCGGAAAUGCAAGUCAGGUGUAAAAGGCAGUAGCUUAACUACUGUAAGCAUUUGAAACUGCAUAUCUUGAGAAGAGUAGAGGUAAGUGGAAUUUUUAGUGUAGCGGUGAAAUGCGUAGAUAUUAAAAAGAAUACCGGUGGCGAAGGCGACUUACUGGGCUCAUUCUGACGCUGAGGAACGAAAGCGUGGGUAGCAAACAGG
rnacentral:rRNA from 1 species